rnacentral:tRNA from 1 species
GCCUGGCUAGCUCAAUCGGUAGAGCAUGAGACUCUUAAUCUCAGGGUCGUGGGUUUGAGCCCCCCGUUUGGCG